UUUGUUUAUAUAUAUAUGUAUGUACCUAAUAGAUUUUUAAGUAUAUUAAAAGUAAAUAAAUAUAAAUGAUAUAAAGGCACAUCACAAAUUGAAAAAAACAAAAUUAAAAUUGAAAUUGCAAAAAGAGAAUGAAAAUUCUCAGCAAAUUUAGUAAUGAAAAAGAUUCUCUCUCCCCUAAUAGAUUUUUCAAAUAAAUAUUUUUCUUUUUAUUUAAAUUUCCUACAUACCAUACACACAUAAAUAUAUUUUUAUUAUAUCAGUUGAUAAUAACAUAAAAUAUACUAAUUUUUUUUUGCAAAAAAAAAACAUAUUAAAUGAACUUAAAUAAAUAAAUACAAAGAAACUAUAUAAUAAAAUAGAAAACAGAAUAUACAAAAAAAAAAAAAUUAUACUAACCUUGAACGGUUGUGAAAAUUUCAAAUAUAUGCUUACAUGAAUAUAAAUAGAGGUGUAUAACAUACAUACAUAUGUAUAUAUAUACCCUAUAUAUCAACCUACCUACCAUCUACUAAAAUAUACAUAUACAUAUAUACAUGCAACAUAUAUAUAAAAAAUAUCAAAUAAAAAAACGAAAUUAGGAUUUAUUUAAUUUAUUUUCAUAAAUAAUUUUUUAAAGAAGCGUUUAGAAAAAUAAAAGUAAAAGAAGUAUAAAAAAAAAAUUAUAAAUAAAAAAAAUUUUUUUGAAUAUUCUUAAAAUAAAACAUGUGUGGGAUCGUUUAGAAAGAAAAAAAGUGAAAAUCCAUUAUUAAAUUUUGAAAAUUCGUAAUAACAAACACUAAUAACAAUAAAAAAUAAAAAAAAAAAAACAAAAUAUAAGCCUAAAAUUAAAAUUUUCUAUUUUUUUGUUUUUUUGUAAACACUCUAGAGUCUAGCGAGUCUAGAACUAUAUAUAUUAAAUUUUUAUUGAUAUCAAAAAAACAACAACAAAAAAAAAUUGAUAAGUAAUACAUAAUUAUUUUAUUAUUCAAUAAUAAUUUAUCCAUCACCUCAAUAAUAGCUAUAUAUAUAUAAAUACAUAAAUAAUAAUUAAAAAAAAAAAUAUAAAACAAACAACAGGCUGUUUGUUACACAGUGACAAAACUAUAAUAAUAUAACUACUUAUCGAUAUAUACAUACAUACAUAUGUGUUCAUAUAUGUAAAAUAAUAUUUUGUAAUAAAAAAUAAUUUUUGAAAUUUCCUCGAAUGGGUUUUUACCUUUGAACAUCAAUUAUCGCGAAAACAUAAAAUAAAAUAACAAAGGUACUAUUUGAGGCGACGUGCAACGUCCCCUUGUUUUUAACACUGCAACUAUACUGUUUAAUAUUUAAGUUUAGUUAUGCUUUGUGCUAUAGAUAAAUAUGAAAUAAAAAAGGAAAAUUAUGUAAGUAGUUUACGAG